AACGAACGCUGGCGGUAUGCUUAACACAUGCAAGUCGAACGGUACCUUCGGGUAUAGUGGCGGACGGGUGAGUAACGCGUGAGAAUCUGUCUUCAGGUCGGGGACAACAGUUAGAAAUGACUGCUAAUACCGGAUGUGCCUAUGGGUGAAAGAUUUAUUGCCUGAAGAAGAGCUCGCGUCAGAUUAGCUAGUAGGUGGUGUAAGAGACUACCUAGGCUUUGAUCUGUAGCUGGUCUGAGAGGACGAUCAGCCACACUGGAACUGAGACACGGUCCAGACUCCUACGGGAGGCAGCAGUGGGGGAAUUUUCCGCAAUGGGCGAAGGCCUGACGGAGCAAUACCGCGUGAGGGACGAAGGCUUUUUGGGUCGUAAACCUCUUUUAUUAGGGAAGAUAAUGACGGUACCUAAUGAAUAAGCAUCGGCUAACUCUGUGCCAGCAGCCGCGGUAAU
rnacentral:rRNA from 1 species